AAGAAGCGAAGCGGUGACGUGGAGCAAACCUCAGAAAGCCAAAUCUCAGUUCGGAUUGUAGGCUGCAACUCGCCUACAUGAAGUUGGAAUCGCUAGUAAUCGCGAAUCAGAAUGUCGCGGUGAAUACGUUCCCGGGUCUUGUACACACCGCCCGUCACACCACGAGAGUUUACAACACCCGAAGCCAGUGGCCUAACCGCAAGGAGGGAGCUGCCUAAGGUGGGGUAGAUGAUUGGGGUGAAGUCGUAACAAGGUAUC
rnacentral:rRNA from 1 species